UACGGAGGAUGCAAGCGUUAUCCGGAAUUAUUGGGCGUAAAGCGUCCGCAGGUGGUUUAUCAAGUCUGCUGUCAAAGCGCGAGGCUUAACUUCGUAAAGGCAGUGGAAACUGAUAGACUGGAGUGCGGUAGGGGCAGAGGGAAUUCCCAGUGUAGCGGUGAAAUGCGUAGAUAUUGGGAAGAACACCGGUGGCGAAAGCGCUCUGCUGGGCAGUGGCUGACGCUGAGGCGCGACAGCGUGGGGAGCAAACAGG
rnacentral:rRNA from 1 species